UACUAUAUCCCGUACAGCAGAAGCCCCUGGUGCAGCUCCUCAGGUACUAUAUCCAGUAGAGCAGAAGCCCCUGGUGCAGCUCCUCAGGUAUUAUAUCCAGUAGAGCAGAAGCCCCUGGUGCAGCUCCUCAGGUAUUAUAUCCAGUAGAGCAGAAGCCCCUGGUGCAGCUCCUCAGGUACUAUAUCCAGUACAGCAGAAGCCCCUGGUGCAGCUCCUCAGGUAUUAUAUCCAGUACAGCAGAAGCCCCUGGUGCAGCUCCUCAG